rnacentral:rRNA from 1 species
CGCCCGAAGUCAGUGACCUAACCGAAAGGGAGGAGCUGCCGAAGGCGGGACCGAUGACUGGGGUGAAGUCGUAACAAGGUAGCCGUAUCGGAAGGUGCGGCUGGAUCACCUCCUUUCUAAGG